GGAAAGUCCCGGGGUAAGAAACCAAGGCAUAUAGACUUCAAAUGGAGCUUCGUUUCCUUACCAUAUGAUGCUCAAUUUCAGACAAAUGAAAGAGGACCACCCUGUCUUCCUGCCUCCCGGAUCAGGCUCUGCUCUCUUGUCCACUACCACAGGCUCAGUGUUACCCACAGCAGUUCUUCCCUCUUUGUGAAGAUGUGCUCUGCUAAAGGUGUUCAGUAGACAUUUACAUCAAGAACAGGAAUCUGGUGACCACAUAAGCAAGUGAUGAGAUAGAAUGUUCAAUGGACAACUGUGCCAGCUUUCAUGAGAGAUCGGCAGCAGUUGCUGCUUUUGGUUCCUUGUAGCUCUCCAUUCCAGGCCUCUGCUCACAGCUGCCUCAGAAAAACCCUCUGCUCCCCUCUUUCUCCAGCUCAGAAGUUGAGAUAUUUGGAGCCGUGUGCCCUCGGUGAAGGAUUGCUUCAGCUCAAACCAAGGGCAGGGGCUGGGAACAGAAAGUACUUCAUCCCCAAAAACAGUUGAUCAAAAAUGAAUGUACUGUCAAAAAAAGCUGACAAGAAUAAGGCAUGAUUGUGAAGUGAAGGAUAUUCUUCUCUGCAAGGAUGGGAAGGUGAUGCAUGAACUCAGUGCCGUGUGAGGACACCUCAGUAGUCACUGCUGCUACAGGUCAUCAACAAAGAACAGCCCCUUUUCAAAGUGAUAGAUCUACUGAAAUCAGAUUAUGCCGGAGCAGCCUGGUUGCUUUGAAUGGGUUCAUAAAGGUUUUACUGAUGCCAAGAGCCUUUCAUUGAUCUGACAG
ensembl:lncRNA